rnacentral:rRNA from 1 species
UCUUCGGCGAUGGACGCAAGCCUGAUGCAGCCAUGCCGCGUGUAUGAAGAAGGCCUUCGGGUUGUAAAGUACUUUCAGCGGGGAGGAAGGCGAUAAGGUUAAUAACCUUGUCGAUUGACGUUACCCGCAGAAGAAGCACCGGCUAACUCCGUGCCAGCAGCCGCGGUAAUACGGAGGGUGCAAGCGUUAAUCGGAAUUACUGGGCGUAAAGCGCACGCAGGCGGUCUGUCAAGUCGGAUGUGAAAUCCCCGGGCUCAACCUGGGAACUGCAUUCGAAACUGGCAGGCUAGAGUCUUGUAGAGGGGGGUAGAAUUCCAGGUGUAGCGGUGAAAUGCGUAGAGAUCUGGAGGAAUACCGGUGGCGAAGGCGGCCCCCUGGACAAAGACUGACGCUCAGGUGCGAAAGCGUGGGGAGCAAACAGG